ensembl:lncRNA novel transcript
ACACCCACAGGGAAAGCACCAUGAGAAGAUGACGGCAGAGAUCUGGGCGACGCGUCUACAAGCCAAGCGACACCAAAGGUGGCCAGCAGCCCAUGUGAAGCUGGAGGAGAGGCCUCGAAUAAAUGCUCCCUUACAGCGUUCAGGGGGAACUGACCCUGUCCACACCUUGACCUUGAACUUCUGGGCUCCAGAACUGUGAGACAGCAUGUUCUGUUGUUGAAGGAGCAGCGUGGCUAGAGGAAUUCCUGCAGCUUAGAUUUCGCUGGCACUGUUACCACUCCCAGAGAGGAGCGGCUGGAGUUCACGGCUGGUUCCUGACAAACUUCCUAAUUAAUCUGCUAAAGAUCAGAGGAGGACUAAUAGGAGCUGAAGACUGUGUGCGAGACCACCCCUCCGCCCUCUCCCUUUGUGUGUGCACGUGUGUGUGUGUGUGUGUGUGAGCGCGUGCGCGCAUGUGGUGCUGAGCUUGGCGGGAGAGAGAUGGCCUCACCAGCGACAAAGCAUUCCUGCUGCUGUUGCUGCCACCUACCUUCCCUGCUUUGGGAGGAUACAUUUUCUCCUCUUGCUUAGAAGUUUCAGGGAGUCACCCAAGCCUUCUUCUCCCAGAUACAACGGUGGAAUAAAAUAUCUUCCAGCCAACAUAUUUUUUGGAGACGGAAUCUCACUCUGUCACCUGGUUGAAGUGCAGCAGCGCGAUCAUGGCUCACUGCAACCUCUGCCUCCCGGUUUCAAGUGAUUCUCCUGCCUCCGCCUCCCGAGUAGCUGGGAUUACAGGCAUGUGCCACCCACCACGCCUGGGUAAUUUUUGUAUUUUUACUAGAGACAGGGUUUCACUAUGUGGGCUGGGCUGGUCUCAAACUCCUGACCUCUGGUGAUCUGCCCACUUCGGCCUCUCAAAGUGCUGGGAUUACAGGCAUGAGCCCCCGCACCCGGUUGCAACCAACUUUUUUGUGGAAUAUAGGAUCUUGAUGUUUGGAUGCCUGAAGGCAGAAGCUGUUGCACAUGGAAUGGAUUAAAGUUUUCCCCUCUGCAACCAAAAAUCCUUGGGGUCCCAGGAGCAAAAGAUGCUCCAUGGCACAGGACAAUUCAAGAAGGCCCGAGGUGAUAUUGAAGACUGCAGAGACAUCCAGCUCAGUUGUGUCUCCGGAGGUGUCCAGACUUUGCAGACAGACGUUGCACAUAAAGAGCUGAAAAACUGAGGAAGCUGAGCUGGAGAAGGAAGUCACUUCUACUCAGACUUGACCUGCGUCUGAUGCUAUGGGGCCUCUUAGGGUUACCUCAUGCUUCAUGCACCCCUUUCUCUGUUCUUCAGCAGAAGGCAGGGUGUAGGGAAGCGGGACUGUGCCUCCUUUCUCCCUGCCAGGCCUGACUCUCCAGGCCAAGAGACACCAUUAAGGAGUAUAAUUUGUUGAUCCAGGCUCUCCUUGCGUUUCAGUGCAGAGUGGCAUCGUUUUCUUUAUGACCUCGUAAAGUCACAGCCGAGAGGCCGAUUUGGAAAACAAACUGCCUCAGGUUGACAGAUAAUUAGAUACAGGGGACAUAUUAUAUGCCUUUGCAUAUAAAUGUGCUCCGAGGCGUGUUGGUUCAUCUGAAGUUGAGGUUAAAGGCGCGCCAGGUAUUCCUGACACAUCAGGAUAUAUAUUUUCAUACAGUCUCAGGUGCUGUGUUGGUUUUAUAGGCCUUUCAUCCUGGUGCUGACGGAUGGGGUGUGAUUGUGACCCAACUUAGAAGAAAGGGACUUCCCUUG